AACGAACGCUGGCGGCAGGCCUAACACAUGCAAGUCGAACGAAGUCUUCGGACUUAGUGGCGCACGGGUGAGUAACACGUGGGAAUAUACCUUACGCUGGGGGAUAACAUCGGGAAACUGAUGCUAAUACCGCAUACGCCCUUCGGGGGAAAGAUUUAUCGGCGAAAGAUUAGCCCGCGUCCGAUUAGCUAGUUGGUGAGGUAAUGGCUCACCAAGGCUCCGAUCGGUAGCUGGUCUGAGAGGAUGACCAGCCACACUGGGACUGAGACACGGCCCAGACUCCUACGGAAGGGAGCAGUGGGGAAUAUUGGACAAUGGGCGCAAGCCUGAUCCAGCCAUGCCGCGUGAGUGAUGAAGGCCUUAGGGUUGUAAAGCUCUUUCACCCACGACGAUGAUGACGGUAGUGGGAGAAGAAGCCCCGGCUAACUUCGUG
rnacentral:rRNA from 1 species